GAUGAACGCUGGCGGCGUGCCUAAUACAUGCAAGUCGAGCGAACAGACGAGGAGCUUGCUCCUCUGACGUUAGCGGCGGACGGGUGAGUAACACGUGGAUAACCUACCUAUAAGACUGGGAUAACUUCGGGAAACCGGAGCUAAUACCGGAUAAUAUAUUGAACCGCAUGGUUCAAUAGUGAAAGACGGUUUUGCUGUCACUUAUAGAUGGAUCCGCGCCGCAUUAGCUAGUUGGUAAGGUAACGGCUUACCAAGGCAACGAUGCGUAGCCGACCUGAGAGGGUGAUCGGCCACACUGGAACUGAGACGCGGUCCAGACUCUUACGGGAGGCAGCAGUAGGGAAUCUUCCGCAGAGGGCGAAAGCCUGACGGAGCAACGCCGCGUGAGUGAUGAAGGUCUUCGGAUCGUAAAACUCUGUUAUUAGGGAAGAACGAAUGUGUAAGUAACUAUGCACGUCUUGACGGUACCUAAUCAGAAAGCCACGGCUAACUACGUG
rnacentral:rRNA from 1 species